AGCGUUUGAACAGAUUUCUUCGGAUUGAAGUUUUUGCGACUGAGUGGCGGACGGGUGAGUAACGCGUGGGUAACCUGCCUCAUACAGGGGGAUAACAGUUAGAAAUGACUGCUAAUACCGCAUAAGCGCACGGUGCUGCAUGGCACAGUGUGAAAAACUCCGGUGGUACAAGAUGGACCCGCGUCUGAUUAGCUAGUUGGUAAGGUAACGGCUUACCAAGGCGACGAUCAGUAGCCGACCUGAGAGGGUGACCGGCCACAUUGGGACUGAGACACGGCCCAAACUCCUACGGGAGGCAGCAGUGGGGAAUAUUGCACAAUGGGCGAAAGCCUGAUGCAGCGACGCCGCGUGAGUGAAGAAGUAUUUCGGUAUGUAAAGCUCUAUCAGCAGGGAAGAAAAUGACGGUACCUGACUAAGAAGCCCCGGCUAACUACGUGCCAGCAGCCGCGGUAAUACGUAGGGGGCAAGCGUUAUCCGGAUUUACUGGGUGUAAAGGGAGCGUAGACGGUAAAGCAAGUCUGAAGUGAAAGCCCGCGGCUCAACUGCGGGACUGCUUUGGAAACUGUUUAACUGGAGUGUCGGAGAGGUAAGUGGAAUUCCUAGUGUAGCGGUGAAAUGCGUAGAUAUUAGGAGGAACACCAGUGGCGAAGGCGACUUACUGGACGAUAACUGACGUUGAGGCUCGAAAGCGUGGGGAGCAAACAGG
rnacentral:rRNA from 1 species